AGAACGAACGCUGGCGGCAUGCCUAAUACAUGCAAGUCGAACGAAGGCUUCGGCCUUAGUGGCGCACGGGUGCGUAACGCGUGGGAAUCUGCCCCUUGGUUCGGAAUAACAGUUGGAAACGACUGCUAAUACCGGAUGAUGACGAAAGUCCAAAGAUUUAUCGCCAAGGGAUGAGCCCGCGUAGGAUUAGCUAGUUGGUGAGGUAAAGGCUCACCAAGGCGACGAUCCUUAGCUGGUCUGAGAGGAUGAUCAGCCACACUGGAACUGAGACACGGUCCAGACUCCUACGGGAGGCAGCAGUGGGGAAUAUUGGACAAUGGGCGCAAGCCUGAUCCAGCCAUACCGCGU
rnacentral:rRNA from 1 species